rnacentral:rRNA from 1 species
UUCGCAAUGCCCGAAAGGGUGACGAAGCGACGCCGCGUGGGUGAAGAAGGCCUUCGGGUUGUAAAACCCUGUCAGGAGUUAUGAAAUGUAAGUGCGCUAAUAUCGUGCUUAUUUGACAAAGGCUCCAAAGGAAGCCACGGCUAACUCUGUGCCAGCAGCCGCGGUAAUACAGAGGUGGCGAGCGUUGUUCGGAAUUAUUGGGCGUAAAGAGCACGUAGGUGGGUUUGCAAGUCAGAUGUGAAAGCCUUCUGUUAAACGGGAGAAUUGCAUCUGAAACUGCUAAUCUUGAGUAUAGGAGGGGAGAAUGGAACUUCUGGUGGAGCGGUGAAAUGCGUAGAUAUCAGAAGGAACGCCGGCGGCGAAAGCGAUUCUCUGGCCUAUUACUGACACUCAGUGUGCGAAAGCUAGGGGAGCAAACGGGAUUAGAUACCCCGGUAGUCCUAGCCGUAAACGAUGGGCACUAAGUAGA